GUGAAUCAUCGAAUUUUUGAACGCAAAUUGCGCUUUCUGGCAUCCCGGGAAGUAUGCCUGUUUGAGGGUCAGUAUUAACAAAAUUUCGGUUUGGUUGCAAAUUGUGAUGUUUCCGGAGUUUGUGCUAUCUUAACUUUUUUGGUUAAGGGUUUUAAAAUUGACCUUAUUUGCGCAUUUUUAUACGCACAUAACUUUUUUUUUUAUUCGUCUAUUCUUACUGCCAACAUC
rnacentral:misc_RNA from 1 species